CAAUAACUCAGUAAGGCAGUAAAAAUUCACAAGCAACAAAAAUGAAAUGUUUUCACAGAAGAAGUACAAGGUACAUGUUACCUUUUUUCAGAAUAAGCACCAAAACAGGGUAGACAAACUGACGGCACCAAAAGCACUUCCAAGUCCGACAUCCUUUUGAUCUCAGCUGCCAAUUCAAAACCCUAGCGGUGGGACUAUAAGAGGAUCCGUUACUGUUCACUAAAGAAGAGGUGAGAUAACGGCGAAAAACCCUAGAAACGAGAGAAAGGAAACCAGAGAGCUUCAAUUGCAAUUGCAAUUACCUGAAGCCACCAUUCCGGAACACGAAGGGAAGUGGAAGCAGUUCGAAGAACGACCAAACCGUUGUCGCAUUCGCGGUUUCACAGGUUAUUACCUUCCCCUUAUGCUUGUUGUGUUGUUUAUCAUAGUUGGAUGUCGCUAGAUGAAACUCCAUUGUCGGGGUAUUACCUUCGUCACCAUUUGUGAUUUUCAAAAUGAAAGAAGUUUUUGAGGGAAGGUUGAUUUUUUUAGAAAGAGAUGAACACCACUGUUUCCAUUCGCUUUUGUUUUUCUCCAGAGUUUUUAUUAUGAUUGACCGUCAGUAUUAGUAAUGGUUCUAUGGCUUGGAAACAAUAAUAGUGGCCUUUACUUUACUCGCUGCACCUUCGUUUUUCCCACCUUGCUGUUUCAAAGAUUUGGCUGACACCUAGCCAUUAAUGGAGAUUUAUUCUCCUAUGUUCGUCACCCCCCUAAACAGCCACAUGGCUAAAGUGGUGUCCCUGCUCCAGUACCACCUCACUUCG
rnacentral:lncRNA from 1 species